GGGCCCGCACAAGCGGUGGAGCAUGUGGUUUAAUUCGAUGAUACGCGAGGAACCUUACCAGGGCUUAAAUGUAAGUUGCAUUAGUUAGAGAUAGCUAUUUCUUCGGACUACUUACAAGGUGCUGCAUGGUUGUCGUCAGCUCGUGCCGUGAGGUGUCAGGUUAAGUCCUAUAACGAGCGCAACCCCUGUUGUUAGUUGCCAUCGAGUCAUGUCGGGAACUCUAACAAGACUGCCGGUGCAAACCGUGAGGAAGGUGGGGAUGACGUCAAAUCAUCACGGCCCUUACGUCCUGGGCUACACACGUGCUACAAUGGCCGGUACAGAGAGCAGCCACUACGCGAGUAGGCGCGAAAUCUUCAAAAGCCGGUCUCAGUUCGGAUCGCAGUCUGCAACUCGACUGCGUGAAGCUGGAAUC
rnacentral:rRNA from 1 species